UUAAGUCAGGCAACAAGCAAGAUCCCUGCCUCUAGUUGCUACUGCUGGUCUCAGGACUAGCAGGGCUAAUUAGAGGGACCGCCGCCGCUGAGGCGGAGGAAGGAGGGGGCUACGGCAGGUCAGUAUGCCCCGAAGCCCUCGGGCCACACGCGGGCUGCAAUGGUAAGGACAGCGGGUUCCGAUUCCGAAAGGAGGAGGCAAUCCCACAAACCUUACCACAGUUAUGAUUGAGGGCUGAAACUCGCCCUCAUGAAUCUGGAAUCCCUAGUAACCGCGUGUCACUAUCGCGCGGUGAAUACGUCCCUGCUCCUUGCACA
rnacentral:rRNA from 1 species